rnacentral:tRNA from 1 species
UUUCCGCUGGUCUAACGGCAAGACGUUGGAUUCUGGUUCCAAAGAUCGGGGUUCGGCUCCUCGGCGGAAAGCCA